rnacentral:rRNA from 15 species
AUGUUCGUUUUAUGUGACGGUGUACCUUUUGCAUAAUGGGCCAGCGAGUUUAUAUUAAUGGCAAGCUUAAUUAAAAAAGAGUAGGCGAAGAUAACUCAACUAUAAUAAGUGGUUGCAAUAGUCAUUGAUAUAAGACCCGAAGCCAGGUGAUCUAUUCAUGAGCAGGCUGAAGAAAGAAUGCAUUAAUGCCUUUUGGAGGGCCGAACCCGUGUCUGUGGCAAGAGGCUGGGAUGACUUGUGAAUAGGGGUGAAAGGCCAAUCAAACUUGGUGAUAGCUGGUUUUCCGCGAAAUCUAUUUAAGUAGAGCGAGCACAGACAUAGCCUUAUAUCGGGGGUAGAGCUCUUUUAGGGUAAGGGGGAUCUAAAGAUCUUACUAAACUUUAAAAAACUACGAAUACCACAAAGGCCAAAUUUUUUUUUUUAAAAAAAAUGUCUAAUUGGAAGAGCCGUUUCAUAUGUGUGCUUAGACAGACUUUGAGCGCUAAGGUUCUUUGUCUAGAGGGAAACAGCCCAGAUUAUUCGCUAAAGUCUUAAAAUGUUUAUUAAGUGAUAAGAAAGUUAAUCAGCUAAGACAAUCGGCAGGUAAGCUUGGAAGCAGCUAUCCUUUAAAGAAAGCGUAACAGCUC